GGUAGCAUGGCCGAGCGGUCUAAGGCGCUGGUUUAAGGCACCAGUCAUAUCGAUGGCGUGGGUUCGAAUCCCACUGCUGCCA
rfam:Ciona savignyi cont_35010, whole genome shotgun sequence.